CUCAAGAGAAGAUCAACUUAGCAAUUUGCAUUAGCAUUUGCAAGGUUGAUCUUCUCUUCGCCCCGCUACCCCGGCUGGCUCUCCGAGUGCUACCUCUACUUUAAGUAGAAGUACUUUUACUAUGAAGUACUUUUGCUUGAAGUAGAGGUAGCACUUGGGGAGCCGGCCGGGGUAGGGAGAUUUUUUUUAUUUUUUUUUUCAAUUCCCAUGGGAAUUGAAUUUUUAAUUAAAAAGGACUCUCUUGUAUAAUUAAUGACAAUUUAUUGAAAAGAACUUGUAAAUAUUACAAUUUGAAUAACAAUAAAAAGAGAACAACC